rnacentral:rRNA from 1 species
UGGGCAACCUGCCCUCAGCUCUGGGAUAACUCCAAGAAAUUGGGGCUAAUACCGGAUGUGACCGCUGACCGCAUGGUCUGGUGGUGGAAAGAUUUAUCGGCUGGGGAUGGGCCCGCGGCCUAUCAGCUUGUUGGUGGGGUAGUGGCCUACCAAGGCGACGACGGGUAGCCGGCUGAGAGGGUGACCGGCCACACUGGGACUGAGACACGGCCCAGACUCCGUACGGGA